GCUCCAAUAGCGUAUAUUUAAGUUGUUGCAGUUAAAAAGCUCGUAGUUGGAUUUCGGGUGGGUUCUAGCGGUCCGCCUCUGGUGUGUACUGCUAUGGCUCACCUUUCUGUCGGGGACUAGCUCUUGGGCUUCACUGUCCGGGACUAGGAAUCGGCGAGGUCACCGUGAGUAACUCGUAGUGUUCAAAGCAAGCAUUCGCU
rnacentral:rRNA from 1 species